rnacentral:rRNA from 1 species
UACGGAGGAUGCAAGCGUUAUCCGGAAUGAUUGGGCGUAAAGCGUCCGCAGGUGGCUGUGUAAGUCUGCUGUCAAAGCGCGAAGCUCAACUUCGUAAAGGCAGUGGAAACUACACGGCUAGAGUGCGUUCGGGGCAGAGGGAAUUCCUGGUGUAGCGGUGAAAUGCGUAGAGAUCAGGAAGAACACCGGUGGCGAAGGCGCUCUGCUAGGCCGCAACUGACACUGAGGGACGAAAGCUAGGGGAGCGAAUGGG